ensembl:snoRNA
GCAUGGGUUUGAAUUUAUGGCAGGCUCGUUCCCCUGGGCCUCUCAUAGUACCCCAUGCCAAAGCAAACUCGUCCCAAACCAUUACCCAGUCUGCCUGUGGGCUGCUGGCACUGGCAGGUAGCAUGGAACAGGG